rnacentral:lncRNA from 1 species
UCGAAAUUUACAUCCUUUUUUUAUUAUAUAACAACUAAACAAAGACAGAGUCCAAUCAAAAUCAUACAUAAAGAGUUCAGAAAGAUCUAAUAAUAUAUAGAUUACGAAAACAACAAACGAAGGUAGCAAAGUUAUUACCUAAUGAUUAAAGUUGCACAAACACAAAGAUUAUAAUAACUUCUCUUCUUAUUAGAUUUAGAAAUUCUCUCAAAACUAAACCUUUCAAUGUGUUUCUCUUGAUGGAACAUCUCUCCAUGAGAACUCUUUAUAUAGGAAGAAGCUACAUCUUUUCCUAAGAGCGAAGCUACAUCUUUUCCUAAUAACAAUAUGGAAACAUUCCUAAGCUCGAUAUGUUUUCCUUUUUCCUUAACCCAUCAAACUUCACUUUAAUGAGUUAACUUGAGGAAGCUCCUCAAGUUAAUUGGAAUUAUCCAACAUUCUCCCCCUUAAUUCCAACUUGAAUCUUAGGUAUGUUGAUCUUCUGAACUCCGAUGAACUUGCGCAUUGCUUCGAACUUGAUCCUUGCCAAUGGCUUAGUGAGUAUGUCUGCCUUCUGCUCCACUCCAGGUACGUGCUUCACUUCGAUAAAGUCGAACUCCACACAUUCUCGAAUGAAAUGGUACUUCGAGAGUAUGUGUUUGCUUCUACCGUGAAACACCGGGUUCUUGGUGAGGGCUAUCGCUGACUUGUUGUCAAUCUUCAACACGACCUUCUUGUCUUCUUUGUUCAUGAUCUCGACCAUCAACUCCUUUAACCAAAUUGCUUGUUUUGCAGCUUCCGUAGCUGCCAUGAACUCCGCCUCACAUGAAGAGAGUGCCACUGUGGGUUGCUUGCACGAUGUCCACGUGAUCGGCGAUGUUCCUAGGUAGAACAUAAACCCUGUAGUGCUUCUUCCAUCAUCAACGUCUAUGUUAUGGCUGCUGUCACUGUAACCUGUAAUCUCCGUUGUUCCAUCCCGUUUGAAGAAGAGACCAUACUCUGUAGUGCCCUUUAUGUAUCGUAUGAGAUGCUUCACUGCUUCUCCAUGACUCUCUCUUGGACUCUGCAUAUAUCUGCUUAAUACACCAACCGAAAACGCCAAGUCCGGUCGUGUAUGAAGAAGAUACCUUAAGCAUCCUAUGAUGCUUCGAUACGAUGUUGCAUCAAUCUCAGGCUCCUCCUCUGCCUUUGAUACUUUCAAACUCGUGUGCAUCGGAACAUGAGUAUAGUUACAUGACUCCAUCUUCGUCUUGACAAGUAUACCUUGCGCGUAUCCUUCUUGUUUGAUGUGAAUGCCAUCAGCUCCUUGCGUUACUUCUAUACCAAGAUAGUAUGUAAGCUUCCCGAGGUCUGACAUCUCAAAUCUUCUUGACAUAUCAUCUUUGAAUUGCUUGAUAACGUUGAGUGAAGUCCCUGUUACAAACAAGUCAUCAACGUAUAUAGCUAUGAUCAGAAGCUCCCCCUUCUGUUUCUUUUGAUAUACCGCAGGUUCCUUGGUGCACUUCGUGAACUCCAUCUCCUUGAGAACAUCUUUACUAACAACUAUCUUCUCCGCGACCGGAUCAUAGAGUCUGUAAGCUUUUGAGCCGAGCUCUGUGCCUAGGUUGAUCACCAUCCUUGAUCGAUCAUCCAGCUUCUUGAGAUGAGGACUGUUGAUUUUUGCAAAAGCUACACAUCCAAAGACCCUUAGAUGCUCAAUGUUCGGUUUCUUAACAUACAAGCUUUCGUAUGGAGUCUUGUCUUCCAAAGCCUUUGUAGCAAUGCGGUUUAUGAGAUACGUUGAAUGACGUACUGCUUCUCCCCAUAGCUGAUUAGGUAUCUUCAUAGCUUUCAUCAAACUUCUAGUCAUCUCCAUUAGUGUUCUAUUUCUUCUCUCAACCACACCGUUUUGUUGCGGUGUAUACGGUGCGGUGAGAUGUCUAGUUACACCGUUUUCUUCACAAAAACGAAUGAACUCAGAAGAUGUGAACUCUCCUCCUCUAUCGGUGCGAAAAGUCUUGAGUUGUAGCUUCGUUUGAUUCUCCACGUACUCCUUGAACUUUUUGAACCGAUCGAACGCUUCAUUCUUCUCUCUUAGUAGCAUCGUCCACAUAUAUCUUGAGUAAUCAUCAAUUAAGACAAAUACAUAUCUAUUGUUUGCUGGUGUUGAUGGUGAUAUCAGACCGCACAAGUCACCAUGUACCAACUCCAAUGCGUGUGAUGCUCGAUACUUUGCUUUAGGCGGGAAAGACUUCCGAGUUUGCUUCCCAACUAAGCAGGCGCUGCACACAUCUUUCUCGUGUAUCACCUGAGGCAUACCUACUACCAUUUCUUUGUCUACCAUAUUCUUCAUGACUCCAAACUUCACAUGUCCUAGCCGUGCAUGCCACGUCCAUGUAACAUCAGUUUCUUGUAUUUGAAGACACUUCGGAUAUUCAACCUCCAUUGGCGUCUUGUACAAUCGGUUUGGUUGCCUUGCGACUUGUACUAAUAGCCUUCCACGGGGAUCUUUCAGCAUCAGUAAGUCUUCUUUCAUAUUGACCUCACAACCCAUCUCGGUUGCUUGUCCAAGACUUAUGAUAUUGUGUUUAAGACUUGGGAUGUAGUAGAUAUCUUUGAGUGCUCUUCUCUCCCCUGUUUUUCCGAUGAACGUGAUCGAACCUUUCCCAACAAUCUCGACGUUUGAUCCAUCACCGAAUUUGACUUUGCCUUUGAUGCUCUCAUCUAGGUUUGAGAAGAACUCUCUCUUGCCUGUCAUAUGGUUACUUGCACCAUUGUCAAGGUACCAUAUACUCGUAUUUCCAUCAGAUACAUCAAACCUCUUAGGAAACACUCUCUCUUCGUUGAGGAAUACUACUUCAUGCAUAUAUAAUGCAUCUGCUUCUUGUGUUUCCGUUAGGUUAGCUUCUUCUCUUGGUCAUGUAGGACAAUGUGACACGAAGUGCCCCAUCUUGUCGCAUCGCCAACAUCUAACCUUAGAGUAGUCCUUCUUGGUCUUGUCCGAAGCUUCUCCUCCUUUGUUAUGACCAUCAGAACCAUUAGACCUUCCUCGUCCUCUUCCUCUUCCACCAUAACCUCUACCUCUGCCUCUUCCUCGCGAGUUGCUAUGGCUUCCACGACCUUGUGCAUCAUUCUUUACAAACAUUAGCUUCGAUUGAUCUUCAUCUUGGGUUUCUUCUUUGAUGCGUUCUUCGAAAGCCUUCAAUCUCCCAACAAUGUCUUCGAAUCCCGUUGAAUUUAGAUCCAACACUUGUUCUAACGAAGCUACGAUGUGAAUGAACUUCGUUCUUGGAAGUCCCUUCAGAAACUUCUUUACCAGCUUUGAUGCUUCCAUUAUCUCUCCUAACGCGGCUGCUCUCGAUGCUAAGCCUGAAAGUUUUCCUGCGUAGUCAUCCACCGUGUCUGUGUCUGUCAUCUUCAGUUUGUCGAACUCAGACAUCAAAGUUUGUAACCUUGCUUCUCUCACGCGAUCAGCACCUAGGUUACGGGAUUUGAUAGCUUCCCAAAUCUUCUUCGAUGUAUCAUGUUCUCCAAUCUGAAGUAUUAGCGCCUCCGGGACUGAUUGAAAGAUUAGAGCAAUCGCCAUAUUGUUCUUCUUUGCAUCGUUACUCCCUGGAUCAAUUGUAUCCCAAACUUCGUAUAAACGAAGCAUCACUUUCAUUCGCAUCGACCAUACGGUGUAGUUGGUCGAUGUUAGCAUCGGACAUCGUAUGUCCUUCUUCAUCUCAAGACCUUUAUCACGUGCUUGAGAAUCGUCUCCCAUGUUUUGAUCGAAGUUACAACUCCUCUUGUAAACGACCUUCGAAACCUGGAGCUCUGAUACCAAUUAAAGUUGCACAAACACAAAGAUUAUAAUAACUUCUCUUCUUAUUAGAUUUAGAAACUCUCUCAAAACUAAACCUUUCAAUGUGUUUCUCUUGAUGGAACAUCUCUCCAUGAGAACUCUUUAUAUAGGAAGAAGCUACAUCUUUUCCUAAGAGCGAAGCUACAUCUUUUCCUAAUAACAAUAUGGAAACAUUCCUAAACUCGAUAUGUUUUCCUUUUUCCUUAACCCAUCAAACUUCACUUUUAAUGAGUUAACUUGAGGAAGCUUCUCAAGUUAAUUGGAAUUAUCCAACAAUGAUAAAGUCUAUAAUAAUAAGGCAUUAUUAAGUUCUUACAAACGGAUGAUUUUACUCCGGAAACUUUAGUUCACCAUUCAAAGAAACGUCUCCACGAACACGGCCGCGACC